rnacentral:tRNA from 1 species
CCAGUGGGCCUCGAUCCCACAAAUACUAGUUAACAGCUAGCCGCCCAAACCAGCGGGCAUUAAUCCAGUCUCCUUCUCAAAAAAGGAGACAAGUCCAGGGUUCUUUAUAAACCUAAUCCGAAUUUGCACUUCGGGCUCUUGGACU